rfam:Gossypium hirsutum cultivar TM-1 unplaced genomic scaffold scaffold743.1, whole genome shotgun sequence
UAUUAAAAAUUUCUUCUAUUUAUACUGAUAAAAAUUGAUGCAGUUAACGGAACAAUCAAAUAGUGACAUGUGACGUGCCACGUGUAUCUCAUGUCAACAAAUAAGAAUUAGUUUUUAACUGUAGAAAUUAAUAAAUUUUUAAUA